GUACACUCCUACGGGAGGCAGCAGUGGGGAAUUUUGAACAAUGGGCGAAAGCCUGAUCCAGCAAUGCCGCGUGAGUGAAGAAGGCCUUCGGGUUGUAAAGCUCUUUUGUCAGGGAAGAAACGGUGAAAGCUAAUAUCUUUUGCUAAUGACGGUACCUGAAGAAUAAGCACCGGCUAACUACGUGCCAGCAGCCACGGUAAUACGUAGGGUGCAAGCGUUAAUCGGAAUUACUGGGCGUAAAGCGUGCGCAGGCGGUUUUGUAAGUCUGAUGUGAAAUCCCCGGGCUCAACCUGGGAAUUGCAUUGGAGACUGCAAGGCUAGAAUCUGGCAGAGGGGGGUAGAAUUCCACGUGUAGCAGUGAAAUGCGUAGAUAUGUGGAGGAACACCGAUGGCGAAGGCAGCCCCCUGGGUCAAGAUUGACGCUCAUGCACGAAAGCGUGGGGAGCAAACAGGAUUAGAAACCCCAGUAGUCCCAUGA
rnacentral:rRNA from 1 species